rnacentral:lncRNA from 1 species
GCUGUGGCUAAUCACAAUCUCUGAAUGCGCAGCACAACCAUCUGACAGGCGGCUCUCCUCUCCCUCAGCCUGGAGAUGGUCCCAGAUUGUCAUGAGACAGACCACCUUGCUCCUAGUGGCACACAGGACGUACACAAUGGCUGCGCAUGGAGUUAAUGACAUGAAAGUGCCACACUGACGUCUGCCCGUCCUGAGUAGCUGUUAACCCCGGGCAUUUUAUUGCCCCAUUUGCCAGGUGAUUCAACUGAGGAGGGGAAGUGACUUUCCCACGAUCUCGGGGGUUAAGACGAUGCAGAACCCGGACUCCAGCCCACUGAUUCUGUUUUCAAGUCUCACACCUCUCUUCGUAGGUCUCUCAUCUCAGCCGCCUACGAAGGUCAAAUCCUGCAUAUUUACGCCAAACUUGAGAGUUGACCAAGUGCCUUUCCCAUGCAUCUUCCUGUUUCACCCCAAGCCGAAAGGUUUGGAAAACAUGCCACCCUUUUAACCUCGGAGAGACUUCUGCCUGGGAAAAGAAUGAAGUGAAAUAAACUCUUUUGAGGGCCUGUGAUCA